GGUUAAGCGACUAAGCGUACACGGUGGAUGCCCUGGCAGUCAGAGGCGAUGAAGGACGUGCUAAUCUGCGAUAAGCGUCGGUAAGGUGAUAUGAACCGUUAUAACCGGCGAUUUCCGAAUGGGGAAACCCAGUGUGAUUCGUCACACUAUCAUUAACUGAAUCCAUAGGUUAAUGAGGCGAACCGGGGGAACUGAAACAUCUAAGUACCCCGAGGAAAAGAAAUCAACCGAGAUUCCCCCAGUAGCGGCGAGCGAACGGGGAGGAGCCCAGAGCCUGAAUCAGUGUGUGUGUUAGUGGAAGCGUCUGGAAAGGCGCGCGAUACAGGGUGACAGCCCCGUACACAAAAAUGCACAUGCUGUGAGCUCGAUGAGUAGGGCGGGACACGUGGUAUCCUGUCUGAAUAUGGGGACCAUCCUCCAAGGCUAAAUACUCCUGACUGACCGAUAGUGAACCAGUACCGUGAGGGAAAGGCGAAAAGAACCCCGGCGAGGGAGUGAAAAAGAACCUGAAACCGUGUACGUACAAGCAGUGGGAGCACAGAGCAAUCUGUGUGACUGCGUACCUUUGUAUAAUGGGUCAGCGACUUAUAUUCUGUAGCAAGGUUAACCGAAUAGGGAGCCGAAGGGAAACCGAGUCUUAACUGGGCGUUAAGUUGCAGGGUAUAGACCCGAAACCCGGUGAUCUAGCCAUGGGCAGGUUGAAGGUUGGGUAACACUAACUGGAGGACCGAACCGACUAAUGUUGAAAAAUUAGCGGAUGACUUGUGGCUGGGGGUGAAAGGCCAAUCAAACCGGGAGAUAGCUGGUUCUCCCGAAAGCUAUUUAGGUAGCGCCUCGUGAAUUCAUCUCCGGGGUAGAGCACUGUUUCGGCAAGGGGUCAUCCCGACUUACCAACCCGAUGCAAACUGCGAAUACCGGAGAAUGUUAUCACGGGAGACACACGGCGGGUGCUAACGUCCGUCGUGAAGAGGGAAACAACCCAGACCGCCAGCUAAGGUCCCAAAGUCAUGGUUAAGUGGGAAACGAUGUGGGAAGGCCCAGACAGCCAGGAUGUUGGCUUAGAAGCAGCCAUCAUUUAAAGAAAGCGUAAUAGCUCACUGGUCGAGUCGGCCUGCGCGGAAGAUGUAACGGGGCUAAACCAUGCACCGAAGCUGCGGCAGCGACGCUUAUGCGUUGUUGGGUAGGGGAGCGUUCUGUAAGCCUGUGAAGGUGUACUGUGAGGUAUGCUGGAGGUAUCAGAAGUGCGAAUGCUGACAUAAGUAACGAUAAAGCGGGUGAAAAGCCCGCUCGCCGGAAGACCAAGGGUUCCUGUCCAACGUUAAUCGGGGCAGGGUGAGUCGACCCCUAAGGCGAGGCCGAAAGGCGUAGUCGAUGGGAAACAGGUUAAUAUUCCUGUACUUGGUGUUACUGCGAAGGGGGGACGGAGAAGGCUAUGUUGGCCGGGCGACGGUUGUCCCGGUUUAAGCGUGUAGGCUGGUUUUCCAGGCAAAUCCGGAAAAUCAAGGCUGAGGCGUGAUGACGAGGCACUACGGUGCUGAAGCAACAAAUGCCCUGCUUCCAGGAAAAGCCUCUAAGCAUCAGGUAACAUCAAAUCGUACCCCAAACCGACACAGGUGGUCAGGUAGAGAAUACCAAGGCGCUUGAGAGAACUCGGGUGAAGGAACUAGGCAAAAUGGUGCCGUAACUUCGGGAGAAGGCACGCUGAUAUGUAGGUGAAGCGACUUGCUCGUGGAGCUGAAAUCAGUCGAAGAUACCAGCUGGCUGCAACUGUUUAUUAAAAACACAGCACUGUGCAAACACGAAAGUGGACGUAUACGGUGUGACGCCUGCCCGGUGCCGGAAGGUUAAUUGAUGGGGUCAGCGCAAGCGAAGCUCUUGAUCGAAGCCCCGGUAAACGGCGGCCGUAACUAUAACGGUCCUAAGGUAGCGAAAUUCCUUGUCGGGUAAGUUCCGACCUGCACGAAUGGCGUAAUGAUGGCCAGGCUGUCUCCACCCGAGACUCAGUGAAAUUGAACUCGCUGUGAAGAUGCAGUGUACCCGCGGCAAGACGGAAAGACCCCGUGAACCUUUACUAUAGCUUGACACUGAACAUUGAGCCUUGAUGUGUAGGAUAGGUGGGAGGCUUUGAAGUGUGGACGCCAGUCUGCAUGGAGCCGACCUUGAAAUACCACCCUUUAAUGUUUGAUGUUCUAACGUUGACCCGUGAUCCGGGUUGCGGACAGUGUCUGGUGGGUAGUUUGACUGGGGCGGUCUCCUCCUAAAGAGUAACGGAGGAGCACGAAGGUUGGCUAAUCCUGGUCGGACAUCAGGAGGUUAGUGCAAUGGCAUAAGCCAGCUUGACUGCGAGCGUGACGGCGCGAGCAGGUGCGAAAGCAGGUCAUAGUGAUCCGGUGGUUCUGAAUGGAAGGGCCAUCGCUCAACGGAUAAAAGGUACUCCGGGGAUAACAGGCUGAUACCGCCCAAGAGUUCAUAUCGACGGCGGUGUUUGGCACCUCGAUGUCGGCUCAUCACAUCCUGGGGCUGAAGUAGGUCCCAAGGGUAUGGCUGUUCGCCAUUUAAAGUGGUACGCGAGCUGGGUUUAGAACGUCGUGAGACAGUUCGGUCCCUAUCUGCCGUGGGCGCUGGAGAACUGAGGGGGGCUGCUCCUAGUACGAGAGGACCGGAGUGGACGCAUCACUGGUGUUCGGGUUGUCAUGCCAAUGGCACUGCCCGGUAGCUAAAUGCGGAAGAGAUAAGUGCUGAAAGCAUCUAAGCACGAAACUUGCCCCGAGAUGAGUUCUCCCUGACUCCUUGAGAGUCCUGAAGGAACGUUGAAGACGACGACGUUGAUAGGCCGGGUGUGUAAGCGCAGCGAUGCGUUGAGCUAACCGGUACUAAUGAACCGUGAGGCUUAACCUU
rnacentral:rRNA from 1 species